rnacentral:rRNA from 2 species
UGGCGGCAGGCCUAACACAUGCAAGUCGAGCGGAAACGAGUUAUCUGAACCUUCGGGGAACGAUAACGGCGUCGAGCGGCGGACGGGUGAGUAAUGCCUAGGAAAUUGCCCUGAUGUGGGGGAUAACCAUUGGAAACGAUGGCUAAUACCGCAUGAUGCCUACGGGCCAAAGAGGGGGACCUUCGGGCCUCUCGCGUCAGGAUAUGCCUAGGUGGGAUUAGCUAGUUGGUGAGGUAAGGGCUCACCAAGGCGACGAUCCCUAGCUGGUCUGAGAGGAUGAUCAGCCACACUGGAACUGAGACACGGUCCAGACUCCUACGGGAGGCAGCAGUGGGGAAUAUUGCACAAUGGGCGCAAGCCUGAUGCAGCCAUGCCGCGUGUGUGAAGAAGGCCUUCGGGUUGUAAAGCACUUUCAGUCGUGAGGAAGGUAGUGUAGUUAAUAGCUGCAUUAUUUGACGUUAGCGACAGAAGAAGCACCGGCUAACUCC